GGGCCUGGAGGGGAAGGCACGGAGAGACGGAGAGGUGAGGGCUGGCCAGGAGGCAGAGCGAAGGCGAAGCGGGAAUCUCUGCAGCCAGGGCACCCUUGCUGCAUCGAAGGAAUACAGGACUCAGAGCCAGCUCCUGUCUCUCAGAUGGAGCCUUGCUACGUUGCCCAGGCUGGUCUCCAACUCCUGGCCUUAAGCGACCGUCCUGCUUUGGCCUCGCAAAGCACUGGGAUUACAGGCAUGAGCCACCGCACCCAGCCAAUGUUCUCACACUUUCUGAGGGCAUCCUCCCUCCAACCAGGCACCUGCCUUCACAUGCAGACUUUCCGCCCCACCAGCCACAGAACCUGUGUUCACAAAUGCAGGUGCACACAAACCAGAGGCAGCCAGUGGAAAAGUGGAUGAACCCUGGGAACUCUUCCCUGAUGUGAUGGCUUUGGAAGCAGCUGAACUCAGGGACUCAUCUUUGGAGCGGGACUGUACCCUGAGGGCAGGGGUUGCUUUCUGAGAACCUGGGAGGACCCCUUGAACCACACAAGUGGAAGUCAUUCAACAUCUGCUAGCCUCAACAGCCCCUUCUGAAGACAGCAAAAGAAAGGGCCGGGUCCCUGGAUGCGUGGAGGCAGGACCUGGGACUCGUGGACCUGCUUGCACUUCCGGCUUCUGAGAGAGCUCUGGGGUGGGGGUCAUGGAUAAAAGGCUCUUUCUUUGGACAAAUGUUUGCUUUCCACUUUCCCCCACCCUCUCACUUCACAUUCUCCACCUGAGUCUCAUGGGUGGCCUCGAAAAGGCCUUUCC